rnacentral:rRNA from 1 species
GACGAACGCUGGCGGCGUGCUUAACACAUGCAAGUCGAACGGAAAGGCCCUGCUUUUGUGGGGGGCUCGAGUGGCGAACGGGUGAGUAACACGUGAGUAACCUGCCCUUGACUUUGGGAUAACUUCAGGAAACUGGGGCUAAUACCGGAUAGGAGCUCCUGCUGCAUGGUGGGGGUUGGAAAGUUUCGGCGGUUGGGGAUGGACUCGCGGCUUAUCAGCUUGUUGGUGGGGUAGUGGCUUACCAAGGCUUUGACGGGUAGCCGGCCUGAGAGGGUGACCGGCCACAUUGGGACUGAGAUACGGCCCAGACUCCUACGGGAGGCAGCAGUGGGGAAUAUUGCACAAUGGGCGGAAGCCUGAUGCAGCAACGCCGCGUGCGGGAUGACGGCCUUCGGGUUGUAAACCGCUUUCGCCUGUGACGAAGCGUGAGUGACGGUAAUGGGUAAAGAAGCACCGGCCAACUACGUG